AGCGAACGCUGGCGGCAGGCUUAACACAUGCAAGUCGAACGGUCCUUCGGGAUAGUGGCGGACGGGUGAGUAACACGUGGGAACGUGCCUUUAGGUUCGGAACAACACAGGGAAACUUGUGCUAAUACCGGAUGUGCCCUUCGAGGGAAAGAUUUAUCGCCUGUAGAGCGGCCCGCGUCUGAUUAGCUUGGUGGUGAGGUAACGGCUCACCAAGGCGACGAUCAGUAGCUGGUCUGAGAGGAUGACCAGCCACAUUGGGACUGAGACACGGCCCAAACUCCUGCGGGAGGCAGCAGUGGGGAAUCUUGCGCAAUGGGCGAAAGCCUGACGCAGCCAUGCCGCGUGAAUGAUGAAGGUCUUAGGAUUGUAAAAUUCUUUCACCGGGGACGAUAAUGACGGUACCCGGAGAAGAAGCCCCGGCUAACUUCGUGCCAGCCGCCGCCGUAAAAC
rnacentral:rRNA from 1 species